UAAUAGUCUGGAUUCUGCUAUAAAACUCUCUAAUAGUUUGCAAGUAUAUGGACAAACACAAAAUAAAAUAAACCGCCUCCAGUACUAAAUAUUUAGCUAUGGACGACAGUCCGACUAAGCAAAACUAUUGACGCCGUGCCAAUUCCGUGCCAGCCGCAGCGGUUAUACGGAAUAGAAGAAGAGAAGAACACCGGCUAAAAGAGCGGUUAAAAAUAAAAAUACUCAGGGACAGAAAAUUAAAAGUUGUAAAAAACUGAACAAAGAAGAAAUAUCACAACUGAUAUAAAUGACCCGCUAAAAUUUAAAAAUAAACCGGGAUUAGAUACCCCGCUAUAUUUAAAAAUAAACCAUUUGACACCCGGGAAAUAAUAUAUAAAAGUAAAAACCCAAAAAUCUUGGCGGUACUUUAUCCCAUUAGAGGAGCUUGAAAAAUAACUCGAUAAUCCCCGAUUAACCUCACUACCUUUUGCUAAACAGCUUGUAUAUCAUUGUCGAAAGUUGACCUCAACAAAAGAAUUAACUAAAAGGGCCCAACCCUUACGUCAAAUAAAGAUGCAGCCAAUAAGGUAGGUAAAUUUGAGCUACAAUUUUAAAAAUAAAACCGGAUAUAAAAUGAAAAAACAAUAGAAGUUGGAUUUAAAAGUAAUGAGAAUUUAGAAAAUUCUCAUGAAAAGGCUCUAAAGUACGCACAGAUCGCCCGUCACUCUCCAAACCACACAAGGAGAUAAGUCGUAACAAAGUAGGAGUACUGGAAAGUGCCCCUAGCGAAAC
rnacentral:ncRNA from 1 species